CAAAUAAUAAUCAUAUUUGUAUUGUCAUUAUCAUCAUCAUUAUUGUUAUUAUUAAUAAUAAUAUUAUGUGCUUAGCCUCAGUAGCAUGCCCACAGCUUCCUGUUGCGGAAAGGCGGAGCGUCUUUUGUCCAAAACAAGCUGCACAACCGACACUGAUUCUCUGCUUUAAGUCUGACCGCAGACACAGUUUCUCGUCAGGUUCCUCUCUCAAACAAGGAUUCGGGGUUUUAUUCAGCUGGGAGAUGUUUGCCACAGCCACCAGAAACUUUGUGCAGGAGGUGGAUCGUGGAGGUUUGCUGAUGCCAGUGUCCAACCUGAAUGACACAAUUGCUCUUCUGACAGUGGUGGUGAAGCGCAAACGUUUCUGGUGCUGGCAGAAGCCCAAGUACAUUCCAACUGAUUUUGACCUCAAUGAUAUACUAACAGGAGACACACCUAUAAAGCCAGGUGUCAUAGAGGCAGAUUUCAUCAAAUACAAUGGGACAUUUGGUGACCACAUUCAGGGAACCGUAGAUGCAAAUUUUGCCCACACCAGUGUCAGCCUAGAGGGUAAAGAAUCUUCCAAACUCCAGUCACCAUUUGGUAGUUUAAAAAAAGAAGAAGUGGAUGUGCAGAAGUUGCUGCGAGACUCCAAAGACAGGAUCCUGGAUAUGUCCCAUGGGCUGGUCCAGCAGACAAAAGAGAAGCCCAGACAGGCUUUUGGGAUUGUGAAGGAACGUAUUUUGACUACUCAGCCCUGUUCGGUCAUAGAGGAGGUGCAGCAGGGAGGACAGUGUGGAGGAGGACUGAGCCUCUGCGGGCCCAAGAGCACAAAGGUUUCCUUGAAGGAGAAUGGGAGCUUGAGUAAAGACAGUAAUAUCACCAUGGAGAUUCCCAUCCACACUACCAUUGCAUAUGCCCUUAUAGAGCUAGAGAUCAAACGUGAUGGGCGCUACGAGCUGUGUCUGAUGUCAGACACCGCUGGGUAUUUUGAAGUAGAUGGCCCCGAUAAGAAAGGACCGUUGGGUGUCUUUGGACCUCCUGCCUCUGAAAAUAGCCACCUUAGACGAGAGCUGGAGCAACUGAGAGAUCAUUUCCAGCUGCUUUCAGCUCUUCCUGCCACCACAAGGUCGUCUCUACUCCAACAAAUCCCAAAAGUUACGGCGGACCAAGGGGCCGUCUGUUCACUGCAGAAUGUGCUGGAACAGAUGUGCUUAGAUAAGAGACCUGCCCUGGAUGAGGUCACAACGACAGAGUCCCAAAAACAGAACAUCCAAGCAAUUCUCGACCUUUUAGAGCAGUCUGGUCAAGUGGAUUCCACACCACUCCUUUCGGCAUUUCACCUUAUUAUCAGCGCCAUGGAUGAGAUGACAAACGAUUGUCUUUCUGUUUUGGGAAUGUGCUGCAGCCUCACUGUGCUACCGGCUCUGGAGCUACUGGUGCAGUGCGUAUCGGGGAAGGGGGAGUUGCCUCUGAGCAGCGCAGGCUUAGCUGCGCUGACAGAAGGCGUCUAUGAGAAGACUGAACGUCUGUUUGCCUCCUCGCAUGUGUCCCUGAAGAGAGAUGGAAACACAGUGAAGACGGAAAUAAGCAGCCUGCCAGGAAACCAUCCUCUGGUCCUGUGUAUCGCUGUCAGAGGUCUCGCCUCGUUGGCCCACUGUGAUUGAACUGAAGACGCCUUAAUAUCCAACCAAUACUUUAAAACGUUACACUGGAACGAGGAUGCAGGUACGGCUGGCAUCCACCACUUCAUGGAUGGAGUCGAUCUUGGUGCCAUAAAGGUUGGCAUCAUACUCGCCAUGCUCCAGAUAACGGUUCUCCCUGAUGUCCUUCUCCAUCUCUUCUCGCGUCACAAAGCAGUAGUUCUGGCCGUCUCUCUCCUCUUCCCUCGGAUGUCGUGACGUGACUGGAGAUGAAAAGGUGAGCAGAUGGUGUUACAUGUACCCUGGCAGCAAAUCUAGUCGAAGACAAUUCAACUGCCUCGGCUGCCCGUCUCACUCACUCACAGGGUACAGUGGUUCCAUAUCGCAGAGGGUUCAUGACGAUUAGUCUGUUCUUCAGGCUCCGCCUCCCAACUCCCUGGGCUCCAAUCACAACCAGCGUUUUCCUCUGAAACGGUGGCAUCUUGGCUACUUCCUCAUAGAUCUGCAGCUCAUAUCGGUCAAACUCUGUUCAGGGCAAUUCACAGGCUGGAUGAGUACCAUAACCUUGUCGAAGCACUUACAGUUUCCCAAUGCAAACCUUUCACAACACUUCUUGUAUGUACAAAAAUAAGAUCCAGUGGUGAUGCACACCUGCAUUCUUUGAAGUGAGGUACAUCAUUUUUUUCUUCUUUUUCUUCGCGGUUCCACAGAUCAUCCCUGAAAUCAAUUUAGAGAAAGUUUUUGAUCACCACAUGGUGGUGCUAAAGCCAAGUCUUUUCUGACUAUCAUGAUAACGUGAAGGAGAAGCAGGGAGCGUGGUGUGAAUGAGUUGGCAUGAUUUGAACUAACCUGUACCAGAAGUAUCCCAGUCUCUUCUCACAAAAGCUUUCCUCUUCUCCUCCAACAACUGACUGGGGAUGAGACCAGUCGCUCCACCAACGACUUUGCGCGCCUAAUCAGAAAUUGGACCAGUAAAGAGAUUCAAUAUUUCACAUAGUAAAAGCUAUCAUGUCUAAGUAUCUGUCGCCAACAUCUUCUCCUCAUCUUUGGCAGCGUCUUGCAGCUUUCCAAAGUAAAUUCCACCUCACUUGUCUGGUCGAAGCAGCACUGGCUUUGUUAGGACUAGAUCUUCUCACCUGCCACCAGUUGGAGUCCUCCCUGUUGACUACAUGAAGGAUGUCUCCCUUGGAAAAGACCAGGCCUGCCUCUUUACAGGGGAUCAGGUUGUCCGUGGCCGGAUUAUAGUUGAAGUGGGGCUUCAGAUAAACCUACAACAUGUUAACGAGAUAUCAGACAAUCAAAUCAAAAAAAAACUUCCUUUUUUCCUACACUCAUUAUAUUCAAUUAGUCUUCUUAUUCACAACUGUUACCAUAACUGAAACCCAGCAAGCACAUAACCAAACAGUAGAAUUAGAUCAUUCGGUCAUCCCUGGCACAAAGGUCAGUGUCUGACAUAACCCUACGCACUGCUCCUCUGCGUCAGCUGUUGCGAGUACUCGUUACUUGAAGAAGCGGAGGGGGUACUCCAGUGAACAGAGUAGUGUGUGUGUGUCACAGAUAGUGUGAGAAGUGUUAUUAAUAGACCGUCAUUGGGCUCAAUUUUCAGAAGCCUGGCAUUCUGAGAUCACCCAGGUCAGGCAGCUCUCCCCCAAUCUCUGAAAGGUACAGUAUGACAGCCUUGUACACUUGGCACACCGGGACUUACACAUCCUGUAUUCUCAUGAACUUAACACGCUGGUUUCAAGAUAUCAAGCUAGUUUAACAGAGUAUUCAAUUCAGUUUUGUCACAGAAUUUUUUGUAUCCCACAGGUGAAUCACUGGGCAGGAAAAUAUCAAAUGCAGUCUCCUUUUUCCUCACCCACCUGUGGAGGUGCCGGUGUGUCUCUGUAGCUGGGCAGAACCUUGAGUGUGACGCUCCCACUGCAGUCCCCCAACAGCUCCUGGAGUUCACGAGGACUCUCACCGACCUCGCGGCCAUUCACUUCGCGGAUUAUGUCUCCCGUGUUCAGCAUGCCCUGCCGGUCAAUCGAGCUGCCGUGCAGGAUCCGUGCGAUCACCAUCUCUCCCCGCUCCACGCGGAAUGUCAUCCCCUGAAAGAGUCGUUUAGUAGCAUACAUUCGCACUUCAUAAAUCAUGCCGGAGAUCUUUUUUCAUGGCAUGGUCGCUGUGAAAGAAGGAACUCAUGUCGAGAUACUGUGUAAACUAAGUCAGACUAUUCAGCAAAUGGUCAAUAAAAGAGGACAUGAAUAACACAGUGAACACGUUUCCUCUGCAGAGCUGUGGGUGAUUUAAAUGCCUGGCUAACUUACCAGCAGUUCCCCGGCUUUCUUCUGGAUGCCAAUCAUCCUCACAGCAUCAGCUGGCAUGAGUGAACCCGUCAACAAGGCGUUGCUGUUCGCCGCAGUGUGGGGCAUUUCAUAGCACUUUGCAGACACUUUAUCAUGAGCCUCUAUCAAAGACUGAGGUAGAACAAAGAAGAACGGGAAAGAGAAGUACAGACGGCAAUAAAAGUAUGGUUCACAAUCUCUGUACAAAGUACAUUUACACCCUUUGCUCACUAAGAAAGACAACAAUCAGCACUACUAUGUGCUCUUAAACUCUUAACAGUGAUUGCUACUGCAACUUGCAUUUGAUCCGCAUCGACAAAUUGAUAAAAUAGAGACGAUAAAUCAGUCUGGUUCUUACCCUAGCAGCCACAACAUAGAGUUAGCAUUGUUCAGAGACUACAAACUGCAUCAGCAAAUGUGUAGAUUUACUGAAACGGUACAUGACAGUCUUCUCCCCCUGACUUUACCCACAUAACUCAGCCUGCUAUUGGCCCAAGG